UUAUCUAUCAACUUUGACAAUUUAGACAUGUUACUUUUGGAACUGAGUAUUUUAUAAAGUACAAAUUAUUAUUUAAAAUUUUAAUUAAACGUACCAAUGUAAUCCUACCACUACGAGUAUAUCUAAUGUGUUGCUUAAUUUGUUCUCAGAGACAUAAGCGGUUCGUCCCAUGUAAGGAGAGAAUUAUAAAAAAGUCGACUUAUUUCUUAGGAUACUGUCGACUAACUAGAAUAUUCUACGAUCAAUCUGAAUCUUGGUUCUAUGAUUGUGAUUCGUUUCGCAAUGACAUCGACAGUUUCGUCAGCUUUGUUGGAAACGUAUUUCUCGAACCUAUAGAAAUAAAAACCAAUCGUUAUUUGUGUGAUGGAACAGCAGUUGAGAGUGGGUCGAUCGAUUCCACUGACUUAUUCUGGACUAUAUCCGUAACUGUAAGAUCUCGACAAAAUUUAAAUGGGACCACACGAGAAGCAUAAAAAGGAUCAUCAAUAUCGGUUCACCUUGAAAAUUUUUCAGAAGUAAGAACAACACACCAAAUUACAGUUGAAUUGAUAAGUUCCUCCUUUUUUAAAGUCGGUUAAAAAGACGAUUCAAGUUUAUUAUAUGUGAAUAGAUUAUAUAUAAUUUUAAUUUUAAAGUAUAGUGUCAUGGUUGUUAAAUUUUUAAUAAGUAAUUACUAAGCAGAGGAAUUUAUAAUUAUCAUUUUUAUCAUUCAUUGUUGCCUACGGAGAUCGGUUUAUAACGUGAUUUUAUAACGGUUUGAGAAUUACACGUGCGGUAUACUUUACCAGUCUAAUCGAUUUCUUGAAUAUUUAAUUCGAUAGUAGAUUUUUAGUUCAAUACGUUUCCGAUCAAUGUCAUUGGAAUUACCACUAAUUCGUAGUUACGAUAUAUUAAAAAAUAAAGUAUUCUAAAUUUUGAUAAACCAUUACUAUUAUAGCUAAGUAUUUAUCAUCUAAGAAUAAAUGGUAAAUGUAUUUCGACUAAGUGUUGACUAUGAGUAUCAUCUUCAACUCUCAAUGAAGCCUUCGUCAAACAAAUGAGGUACUUCUCUGUGGCCGCGUGGGUGCAUUCUUUCGUAAUUCGGAAUAAUUCGAUUGAUAUCUUUACUCUAUUAAAUGAAGCUUCAUACUUCUGUACAAGUUAGUUUUCUUUGUUAGACUUUUAUAAAAGUAAAAUAUAAAAAAAAGAAUUCAAUCGUUUCUUAUGGUAAGAAGCGGUAAUCAUGUUGUCAUUUCAUGGUAAUCAAUGAAAAAAACUCCUGUUUGACAUACACAUAUUUUUUCGCUACCCUGGUCGCUACCUUUCGUCCUAUGAUCGAAAUUCAAUUGUAAUUACUGACACCUAAAGAUUUAUUUCUUCAUUAUAUAUCUUAUGUUUUCUUAUUCGAGUCGUACCUGACAAAAUUACUAAAAAAAAACAAAAAUUACUUCAUUUUGGAAUCUCCCGAUCCACUAU